rnacentral:rRNA from 1 species
UAAUACGUAGGGUGCAAGCGUUGUCCGGAAUUAUUGGGCGUAAAGGGCUCGUAGGCGGUCCAUCGCGUCGGGAGUGAAAAGCUGGGGCUUAACCCCAGUCCUGCUUCCGAUACGGGUGGACUAGAGGUAGGUAGGGGAGAACGGAAUUCCUGGUGUAGCGGUGAAAUGCGCAGAUAUCAGGAGGAACACCGGUGGCGAAGGCGGUUCUCUGGGCCUUACCUGACGCUGAGGAGCGAAAGCAUGGGGAGCAAACAGGAUUAGAUACCCUGGUAGUCCAUGCCGUAAACGUUGGGCGCUAGGUGUGAGGGACAUUCCACGUCCUUUGUGCCGCAGCUAACGCAUUAAGCGCCCCGCCUGGGGAGUACGGCCGCAAGGCUA